AGCGAACGCUGGCGGCAGGCUUAACACAUGCAAGUCGAGCGGGCAUCCUUGUGGUGUCAGCGGCAGACGGGUGAGUAACGCGUGGGAACGUGCCCUUCGGUUCGGAAUAACUCAGGGAAACUUGAGCUAAUACCGGAUACGUGCGAGAGCAGAAAGGUUUAUCUGCCGAAGGAUCGGCCCGCGUCUGAUUAGCUAGUUGGUGAGGUUAUGGCUCACCAAGGCGACGAUCAGUAGCUGGUCUGAGAGGAUGAUCAGCCACACUGGGACUGAGACACGGCCCAGACUCCUACGGGAAGCAGCAGUGGGGAAUAUUGGACAAUGGGGGCAACCCUGAUCCAGCCAUGCCGCGUGAGUGAUGACGGCCUUAGGGUUGUAAAGCUCUUUUCUCCGGGACGAUAAUGACGGUACCGUAGGAAUAAGCCCCGGCUAACUUCGUG
rnacentral:rRNA from 1 species